CCUACGGGGGGCUGCAGUGAGGAAUAUUGGUCAAUGGACGAGAGUCUGAACCAGCCAAGUAGCGUGAAGGAUGACUGCCCUAUGGGUUGUAAACUUCUUUUAUAUGGGAAUAAAAUGUUCCACGUGUGGGAUUUUGUAUGUACCAUAUGAAUAAGGAUCGGCUAACUCCGUGCCAGCAGCCGCGGUAAUACGGAGGAUCCGAGCGUUAUCCGGAUUUAUUGGGUUUAAAGGGAGCGUAGGUGGAUAGUUAAGUCAGUUGUGAAAGUUUGCGGCUCAACCGUAACAUUGCAGUUGAAACUGGCAGUCUUGAGUACAGUAGAGGUAGGCGGAAUUCGUGGUGUAGCGGUGAAAUGCUUAGAUAUCACGAAGAACUCCGAUUGCGAAGGCAGUUCACUGGACUGAAACUGACACUGAGGCUCGAAAGUGUGGGUAUCAAACAGGAUUAGAUACCCGUGUAGUC
rnacentral:rRNA from 1 species